rnacentral:rRNA from 1 species
AGAGUUUGAUCCUGGUUCAGGAUGAACGUAAGCGGCAGGCUUAACACAUGCAAGUCGAGGGGCAGCAUGUCCAGCAAUGGAUGAUGCGAACCGGCGGAAGGGUGCGUAACGCGUGAGCAACAUGCCCUAUACAGGGAGAUACACCAGGGAAAUUUGGUCUAAUAUCCCAUAGCAUUCAUUGAAGGCAUCUUUAAUGAAUUAAAGCUUCGGUGGUAUAGGAUUGGCUCGCGUGACAUUAGCCAGAUGGUGAGGUAACGGCUCACCAUAGCAAUGAUGUCUAGGGGUUUUGAGAGGAAGGCCCCCCACACUGGGACUGAGACACGGCCCAGACUCCUACGGGAGGCAGCAGUGAGGAAUAUUGGACAAUGGAUGGAAAUCUGAUCCAGCCAUGCCGCGUGCAGGAAGACGGCCUUAUGGGUUGUAAACUGCUUUUAUACGGGAGCAAUAAGGGUUACGAGUAAUCCGAUGAGAGUACUGUAUGAAUAAGGAUCGGCUAACUCCGUGCCAGCAGCCGCGGUAAUACGGAGGAUCCGAGCGUUAUCCGGAAUUAUUGGGUUUAAAGGGUGCGUAGGCGGCCAUUUAAGUCAGCGGUGAAAUUUUGCAGCUUAACUGUAACAGUGCCGUUGAUACUGUUUGGCUAGGAUUUGGUUGUAGUGUGCGGAAUGUGUGGUGUAGCGGUGAAAUGCUUAGAUAUCACACAGAACACCGAUUGCGAAGGCAGCACACUAAGUCAUUAUUGACGCUGAGGCACGAAAGUGUGGGGAUCAAACAGGAUUAGAUACCCUGGUAGUCCACACUGUAAACGAUGAUAACUCGCUGUCGGCGAUACACAGUCGGGGCCAAGCGAAAGC